rnacentral:sRNA from 1 species
UUCGACUCGUGACCAACUGCAGACGGAAAAGUCGAGGGAAAUUGUGAGAGGAGAGGCCGAAGGGUGAAAGCAUCUGUAAGAGUCGAUGAUAAAAAAUAGCUUACAGGUCCACCAAGGGUGCAAGAGAAAGCAUCCGAGGAGCUAAAGAGAAUCUCGCUUUAGACCCCUGAGGAUCUCGAUAAAAAG